CGGGAGGCAGCAGUAGGGAAUCUUCCGCAAUGGACGAAAGUCUGACGGAGCAACGCCGCGUGAGUGAUGAAGGCUUUCGGGUCGUAAAACUCUGUUGUUAGGGAAGAACAAGUGCUAGUUGAAUAAGCUGGCACCUUGACGGUACCUAACCAGAAAGCCACGGCUAACUACGUGCCAGCAGCCGCGGUAAUACGUAGGUGGCAAGCGUUAUCCGGAAUUAUUGGGCGUAAAGCGCGCGCAGGUGGUUUCUUAAGUCUGAUGUGAAAGCCCACGGCUCAACCGUGGAGGGUCAUUGGAAACUGGGAGACUUGAGUGCANAANNGGAAAGUGGAAUUCNAUGUGUAGCGGUGAAAUGCGUAGAGAUAUGGAGGAACACCNGUGGCGAAGGCNNCUUUCUGGUCUGUAACUGACACUGAGGCGCGAAAGCGUGGGGAGCAAACAGGAUUANAUACCCNNGUAGUCCACGCCGUAAACGAUGAGUGCUNAGUGU
rnacentral:rRNA from 1 species